UACGUAGGUGGCAAGCGUUGUCCGGAAUUAUUGGGCGUAAAGCGCGCGCAGGCGGCCUUUUAAGUCUGAUGUGAAAGCCCACGGCUCAACCGUGGAAGGUCAUUGGAAACUGAAAGGCUUGAGUACAGAGGAGGAAAGCGGAAUUCCACGUGUAGCGGUGAAAUGCGUAGAGAUGUGGAGGAACACCAGUGGCGAAGGCGGCUUUCUGGUCUGUAACUGACGCUGAGGCGCGAAAGCGUGGGAGCAAACAGG
rnacentral:rRNA from 1 species